GUCGUAGUGACUGCGGAGGACAUUA
rnacentral:rRNA from 1 species